CAAGUAAUAUGAUUAACUUUUAACCAUAUACAUGCAUUCGACAUUUGUAUUCUUUUACAUCCUUUGCAUCAUUUCUUUUUACAUUACAUAAUCCCCAAAAUAAAACUCAUUACAUUCUUUCAUUUAAACAUUUGCAUCGUUCAUACAACUAUAUUCAUCAAAUUACAAAAGAUGAUAUAUAAAAGGUAUGCAACUACACAAAAUAUAACCAACAAGGGCUGUCUAUGACGCGAUACCUUUACCGCGAUCGUCGGCCGGCUCACUCG
rnacentral:lncRNA from 1 species